rnacentral:rRNA from 1 species
GAUGAACGCUGGCGGCGUGCCUAAUACAUGCAAGUCGAGCGAACAGACGAGGAGCUUGCUCCUCUGACGUUAGCGGCGGACGGGUGAGUAACACGUGGAUAACCUACCUAUAAGACUGGGAUAACUUCGGGAAACCGGAGCUAAUACCGGAUAAUAUAUUGAACCGCAUGGUUCAAUAGUGAAAGACGGUUUUGCUGUCACUUAUAGAUGGAUCCGCGCCGCAUUAGCUAGUUGGUAAGGUAACGGCUUACCAAGGCGACGAUGCGUAGCCGACCUGAGAGGGUGAUCGGCCACACUGGAACUGAGACACGGUCCAGACUCCUACGGGAGGCAGCAGUAGAGAAUCUUCCGCAAUGGGCGAAAGCCUGACGGAGCAACGCCGCGUGAGUGAUGAAGGUCUUCGGAUCGUAAAACUCUGUUAUUAGGGAAGAACAAAUGUGUAAGUAACUAUGCACGUCUUGACGGUACCUGAUCAGAAAGCCACGGCUAACUACGUG